CGCAGGGCGGGCGCGCAUGGCGGCCCCGCUGACAGGGCCGCACAUGUUUACGGGCGGCGCGCUGCCAGCAGGCGGAGAAAUCCGAGGCAAAAGCUGAACAGGAUCGCGGGCGGGAGCAUGGAUCAAGGGCCCUGGGAGGCGGCAGGGCCCUCCCGCGCCCAGGCUGAGCAGUACGAGCGCUGCGGGGGGAGUGGCACUGCGGCUACCCGGGCACCCGCCUGCGCUCGUCUUUAAUGCGACAGCGAACGGCCUGUGCCUGGGGGACAGAAGUCGGUUUUCCGAGCGAGUCACCGUGGUCUGUGUCUGUCCGGCGCUGUGGUGUUUUAUGGGGGAGAGCAGGGUGUGAGAGGCUGGAGGAGGCCAACCAGAUCCCCCGUGUAUGCGUGGGGGAGGUUUUUCCCAAAGCGGACCGAGAAGAUUUACAGUGGAGUUUCAAUGAAAAAAUCAGUCUGAUUUGGUUACACCCUUCCUCCUCCAUACUGCACAGCUGUUCCAGAGCUGCCUUUUGUCCAGCACAGCUUUGAGAGCCUGGACCUGCCACAGUCCCAGGAGAGGAGAGGCAGCACCUGGGGUGUGGAGCAACCUCUGCAGAAGGAGCAAGGCCCCCUCCUGCAGGCCGGCAGCCUGAGAUGCUUCCUCAUUGUCUCCAGGAACCUUUCUAAACCUUUUCCUCUCCCUCCUGCCAAACCAAAGAAACACUUCAUCACUCAGUUAGUAAUAUUUGAAACAAUUAUUGUUAAGCUGACAAUUAAAAGCUUGAUUAUUGGUUCACAGUAUGUGCUUUUACUUUUAUCCACUGAAACAUUAGACCAAUAAGUGUCAAGUCAUCUGUAUCAUAAACUUAAUGCUGGAAAAAAAAUGACCAACAACCUGAAUGCAAAGUUCAAAAAAGGGUGAAUUCUGAGGUUUCAUUAAAGCUAACAGGCAUGUUCUGAUUUGUACAGGCCCAAGUAUACUUCAUUAUUUUCUACAGGAGAUCAUACAGUCCCCAUUUUAUUUUGUGUUCUGCACGCUAGCAUAUAUAAUCCAGUUUAGUGAUAAUGCAUCCAUUGUAGCUAUCACUUACAAUUUUGAUUCUGUUUGUGCCACAAUUAAAACAGAGAGAUACUUGAAAAA